rnacentral:rRNA from 1 species
CUGGCAGUGUUGGCGUGCGCCUCCACGGCCACGGUGUGAGUCUCUAAUAUCCCACCCUCCGCCAUCAAUAGGGAGCUUCUAACCUUCUUCAAUUCCGCCGUUGCCGCUGCUGGCGAAGCGUACGCCUGCGAGAUCGCCGCAGCCCGAUGCGGCUAGCUAAGUCGAGGAAAUGGCGCCGUUCAGUUCGAUUCCAUUGCCACUGCAACCCUUGCCGCCAAACUCGCCUCCUCCGCUUGCCUACCCCGCUUCCUCGGCUCCCUCCUCUCCGUUUCCCCUGCCCCGGAGGACCUUCUUCCCCACGUGCCCGACGUUUCUCUCCGCGCAGCCGAUGCACGCCUCUUUGUAGGCAACUGCGUCGCUGAGGGCAAAUUCGAGGUGGCUAAUUCUUGGGACAGCAUUCGCGUAGAAGUCAUCCAGGGUAAGCGGCUCAUAGAACUGUACCUGAAUCAUGACUCCCAGAGGUACAAGCUUGAGGUGUUCUUUGAGGACAUCAGCAACUGCUACAAGUGCAGCUUUGAUGGGGCCAGCGGCAUCUUGCUGCAGCUCAUGUAUGCACCAAAAAUAAGCACUGCAAUUUCUGGGCCUGCAGUUUAUUCAAGGUUCUCAGAUGACCGGUUUCAUGCAUGCACGGAGGAUGCGAAGUUUACCUGGGUCAGAGCACUAGAUUUUACACCAAACCAAUCUUUCGGGAAGUGUUCAACUCUCACCCUCAUACUUGAUGAAGGUGCAACAGUGUCAUUUAUAUUCGCUAGCUUACCUUUGUCAGGAGAAUUGGGGGAAUUGGUCGUAUCAUUAAUGGAAUCUAUUGGCUCACCGCCCAUCGUUGGUCCCCUUGUUGACUACCCGAGUAGCUGCUUAGUGCCUUUUGAAGUUAUUUUUCGUCUCACUUCUCUUGUUCACAUGGGGAUGAUAGUUGCCAAACAUGUUAAUGCUUGUCUGUUUAAAGCUCUUUAAGAAAUACCAGUUCAUAUUUCAAGGAGGAUUUUUGAGAAAAUGAGCAACUUAGAGUUUACAUGCUAUGAAUCUUCGCACUUCAUCCAACAGGAGGCUCAUAGCAAGAAAAUGAGCUACAAUACUUUGAUGUCUAGUAGGAUCGAAGUUGAAGGAAAGUUAAUGAUGUGUUACAGAAUUCACAUUACUCCAUCCAAAAUAUUCUGCUUGGGACCUGAGGAAGAAGUUUCAAAUUAUGUGUUUAAGCCUCAUAGUAAAUAUGCUUCUAACUUUGCUAGAGUUACUUUUGUUAACGAAGACUGGACUAAGCUUUUUCCAGAUGUUAUCUCUGCUAGAACUAGAUGAGGGUUCUUUUCCCGUCCCUUGAAAACUGGCAUGUAUUAUCGCAUGUUAACCAUUCUAAAACGACUUUCCAUUAGUCCAAAGAACUAUGAAUUCAUGGCCUUCUCAGCAGGUCAACUUUGUGGAAGUGCUUCUUGGAUGUUUGCUUCUAAUGAUACCUUGAAGGCCGAGGAUCUAAGAAAGUGGAUGGGCCACUUUGAAGAAAUUCGUUACAAUGGGCCAAAAUUCGCUAGAAUGGGCCAGUUGUUCAGCUCCUCCGGACAAACUGUUGAAAUCCUACCACAUGAUGUGGAAGAGAUUCCAGAUAUUGAAGUCACAACUGAUGGCACUAAAUACAUAUUUUCUGAUGGUAUUGGGAAGAUACUGAGAUUUGCCAAAGAAAUUGCUCACCGAAUUGGAUUAGACAUUACUAACUCUCCUCCAGCUUUUCAAAUAAGGUAUGGUGGCUACAAAGGAGUUAUUUCUGUCGACCCUGAUUCCUUUCGUAAUCUUUCUCUACGGCCUAGCAUGAUGAAAUUCGAAUCUAAGAAUACAAUUUUUAACACUACAAGUUGGAGCAAAGCCCAACCAUGCUAUAUGAAUCGCAAACUAUCUCUCCUUUCGACUUUUGGAAUAAAAGAUGAGAUAUUUGAGUUAAUGCAACAAGAUGACAUGCAUGAAUUAGCUGAAAUGCUGACGAAUAGAUAAGUUGGUCUCUCUGUUCUAGGGAAAAUUGGUAGUGCUAAAACAAAGACGACAUCGAAAAUGUUACUGCAAGGUUAUGAACCAAGUUUAGAGCCUUGCAUGUUGAUGAUUCUUAAGGCCCAUCAAGAUAAUAGGCUGACUGACAUAAGAACUAGAUGUAAGAUUCAUGUUCGGAAAGGCCAUGUUCUUAUUGGUUGUUUGGACGAAACAAGCGAAUUAAAAUAUGGUCAAGUGUACAUCAGAAUUACAAAAAACAGCAAAGAGCAGAAGGAUAAUGGUUGGCCGUACUUUUCUGAAGAUAAUGGGAAAACAACAAUUGUUGUUGGAAAAGUUGCAAUAUAAAAAAAUCCUUGUCUCCAUCCUAGUGACAUCAGAGUACUUGAAAUUGUAUAUGACCAUGGAGCCGAGAACCUGGUUGAUUCUUUUGUCUUCCCUCAAAGAAGAUAAAGGCCUCAUCCGAAUGAAUGCUCCUGAGGCGAUUUGGACGAGGAUCUCUAUUUUAUCACUUAGGAUGAGAAACUGAUUCCAGAGAAGGUUGAUACACUUAUGGACUACACUACAGCAAGGCCACGCAUAAUGGAUUAUGUUGUUACACUCGAGUCUAUUCAGAAGUACUUUGUCGAUUACAUGAAUGACUCGCUCGAUGCAAUCUCAACUGCUCACUCGAUUCACGCAGACCGUCAUCCAAUGAAAGUUCAGAGCCCUGACUGCCUCCAGCUAGCUACUUUGUAUUCGAUGGCAGUUGACUUCGCCAAGUCAGGAGCUCCAGCUAAAAUUCUCCAGUCACUAUGACCAAGGAAGUACCCCGAUUUCAUGGAGCGGUGGGACAAACCAAUGUAUAUCUCCAAUGGAGCUCUCGGCAAGAUCUACCGAGCAGCUCCGAGUCGUAUGUAGAGCUCUCCUGCUCUCUUGUCCUUUGCUCAACCGAACCUCGCAUUCGAUCGGGACGUGGAGGUCCCUGGCUUCGAGGAAUUCCUGGAAUCCGUAGAGUGCUACAACCUGUACGCGAAGAAGCUCAUUGGACAAGAAUCCACAGAGGGCCCUCAGUCCUGA